AUUGAACGCUGGCGGCAGGCUUAACACAUGCAAGUCGAGCGAGCGGCGGACGGGUGAGUAAUACAUGGGAAACUGCUUGAUCGAGUGGGAUAACUACGGGAAACGGUAGCUAAUACCGCAUACCAUCAAAUGUGCCCAGAUUGGAUUAGCUAGUAGGUGGGGUAAUAGCCAACUAAGGCGACGAUCCGUACAUAGUCUGAGAGGAUGCUAAGCCACACGGGAACUGAGACACGGUCCGGACUCAUACGGGAGGCAGCAGUGGGGAAUAUUGGACAAUGGGCGCAAGCCUGAUCCAGCCAUGCCGCGUGGGUGAAGAAGGCCUUCGGGUUGUAAAGCACUUUCAGUGAGAAAGCGUUACUCGCAGAAUAAGCACCGGCUAACUCCGUGCCAGCAGCCGCGGUAAUUC
rnacentral:rRNA from 1 species